rnacentral:rRNA from 1 species
AUUGAACGCUGGCGGCAGGCCUAACACAUGCAAGUCGAACGGUAACAGGAAACAGCUUGCUGUUUCGCUGACGAGUGGCGGACGGGUGAGUAAUGUCUGGGAAACUGCCUGAUGGAGGGGGAUAACUACUGGAAACGGUAGCUAAUACCGCAUAACGUCGCAAGACCAAAGAGGGGGACCCUCGGGGCCUCUUGCCAUCGGAUGUGCCCAGAUGGGAUUAGCUUGUUGGUGGGGUAACGGCUCACCAAGGCGACGAUCCCUAGCUGGUCUGAGAGGAUGACCAGCCACACUGGAACUGAGACACGGUCCAGACUCCUACGGAGGCAGCAGUGGGGAAUAUUGCACAAUGGGCGCAAGCCUGAUGCAGCCAUGCCGCGUGUAUGAAGAAGGCCUUCGGGUUGUAAGUACGUUUACUAGC